AAAUAUACGAUAGUACGAUGGUGAAAAAAAUCGAAAUAACAACGAUGGUGAAAAGUCGGAAGAACCAUAAGGAAAUCACGAAAUUACAUGGAGUUUUCAGCACCAUCGUGGUUUCAUUAUUUCAGACUUUUCAUCGUUUUUAUUUCUUCUUCUUUUUUUAAUUCUAUUUUAAUCUCUAUUCCAAUAAAAGUGACUAUUGAACAGUAAUUUGUGUAAAGAGCUAUUAAAGGAACGACUUAUUGUUAACGGUUACUGCUAAGUAAGGUAACAAUGAUAUUUUUGUUAAAACGAGCGUAUAUAAGUAUGAAGUCUCUAAAUUCCCAUCGGAUAUUGGGUUAUGUUUACAAGAUGAAAAGAACAUGCGGUUUAUCAGUGAACGUACUGGCAUGUACACGAGCGUUUUCUUCGUAGAUCAAUAUGAAGCCUGAAACAGAACGUUGUUCAGUGGAGAUUUAAUCAUAGUCUAGGAAUGUGUGUGGAUUCUAGAUAAACAAUGGCAAUUAGAGCUCUCUCUUCUAGUUCUAGCAGUCUUAAAUCUGCAACAAUUAUUUUACUUGUUGUGCUAGUUAUUCAUAUAGUUGGAUUUUCUUUACCACGAUGGAUUUCUGUAGAAUUAACAGUUACAGAACAUGUAGAAGGGCAGACAACAGAAACUGGUUAUCAUGCUGGUCUCUGGCAACAUUGUGGAUGUGCAAAAUCAAAAUUUCUAAACACCGGUGCAUGUCUAUGUUUCUCCAGAACAAAUGAUCCAAUGUGGUUCAACAUGGUACAGGCUGCGGAAACCCUCGGACUUAUUGGACUAGUCGUGUCUAUGUUAUUGUCACUGACCACGUUUUCUAUCAACAUAACAAGAAGUUUAUGAUAGCCAACGUCCUGAUUCUACUGGUCUCAGGUACAUUGGUGGUGAUUGGUUUGGUCGUUUUCAAAGUCAAAACAGAUACAUUUGAGUUAUUUAAAGACUUGGGUAAAAUUGAAACAUCAGAAAUGGAAAUUGACCAAGUUGACGCCAAGCUUAAUUACGCUUAUUUCCUGUGUGGUGUUGCAGGCUGCCUUAGUAUACUCGUGUGCGCGCCUCUCUAUGUGAAAGAUUUAUGUUCUUAUUCCCCGGGCACAUUGAAUGAAUCUGCGGUACAUUAUACAGCUCAAGGUCAAUGCCUUGUCCAAGGAAAUAUGGACAGCGGAUAUAUGAGAACCUCGGAUGAACAAUAUGGAUUUCCACCAGCUUACGAGCAGCGAUAUGUGCCCAACAAUGCAGAACUGCCCUAUAAAUCAUAACGUUAUCAAGCGCAUACAUACAUGUUUUAUAAAUGCCUUGUACAUAGCAAAGCUUUGCAAAGUUACACAUGUAUUUUAAUACCUUUAAAAAGAUACCUUUUAUCACGGUGAUAUCACCGUAAUAACAGGGUGGUGAUGUGGGGUACUUGUUGUGAUUCAGAGAAGGGCAUCGUUAGGCUUUGCAUUCACAUAUAUCAAACGAUUAGACAAUAACAAUUAGGCCAAUAUUUGACGCUAUGUAUGCAAAUUAGCACAUGUACAGAUUAAGGCGAUAGCGGUGUCACACCGCACUUUGGGGUCAAACGCACUUUGGGGUUGGACCCCAAAGUGCGUUACGUACUUUGGGGUCGGACCCCAUAGUGCGUUACGCACUUUGGGGUCCAAUUUCGACCCCAAAGUGCGUUAAACAGGUACAUAUGCAUUUUUUAACACCAGGCAAACGACCGCACUUUGGGGUCAUAGAAAAUUAAAGUUCAUUAUGUUUUAAAUAAUAUAUUGUAGUCAAAGCCAAUGGUAAACAAAAAAGCAAGGCAUUAAAUAGACACAAACAUGUGCCCUGAAUUAUAGUAGAAUCAAUAGGGAUUUAAAUGAUCUUGAUUAGUAAGUGAAGAACUUUCACCAAAUAAAUCACCAAAUAAAGAAUUUGUAUCUACUG